GAGCCCACACCCACGCGAUCCGCGUCGGGUGGGUUGGUCUCCGGC
rnacentral:misc_RNA from 1 species